rnacentral:rRNA from 1 species
UACAGAGGGUGCGAGCGUUAAUCGGAAUAACUGGGCGUAAAGGGUGCGUAGGCGGAACGCCAAGUCAGAUGUGAAAGCCCCGAGCUCAACUUGGGAAUUGCAUUUGAAACUGGCGAUCUAGAGCAGAGAAGAGGAGAGUAGAAUUUCAGGUGUAGCGGUGAAAUGCGUAGAUAUCUGAAGGAAUACCAGUGGCGAAGGCGGCUCUCUGGUCUCUUGCUGACGCUGAGGCACGAAAGCGUGGGGAGCGAACAGG